GUGCACCAGGCGCGAAACUUUACAAUGUGCGAAAGCACGAUAAGGGAACUCUGAGUGCCUCCUAAGGAGGCUGUUCAGGUGUCUAAAAGCACCUGAAGGAAGGGCUGGGUAAGACCGGUGCCAGCCGCCGCGGUAACACCGGCAGCCCAAGUGGUAGCCACGUUUAUUGGGUCUAAAGCGUCCGUAGCCGGCUGGGUAAGUUCCUUGGGAAAUUUGGCUGCUUAACAGUCAAGCUUUCAGGGAAUACUGCCCGGCUUGGGACCGGGAGAGGUCAGAGGUACUCCAGGGGUAGGGGUGAAAUCCAUUAAUCCUUGGGGGACCACCGGUAGCGAAGGCGUCUGACCAGACCGGGUCCGACGGUGAGGGACGAAGGCU
rnacentral:rRNA from 1 species